rnacentral:rRNA from 1 species
UACGUGGGGGGCAAGCGUUGUUCGGAAUUACUGGGCGUAAAGGGCUCGUAGGUGGCCAACUAAGUCAGACGUGAAAUCCCUCGGCUUAACCGGGGAACUGCGUCUGAUACUGGAUGGCUUGAGGUUGGGAGAGGGAUGCGGAAUUCCAGGUGUAGCGGUGAAAUGCGUAGAUAUCGGGAGGAACACCGGUGGCGAAGGCGGUUCUCUGGGCCUUACCUGACGCUGAGGAGCGAAAGCGUGGGGAGCGAACAGG